GAUCUUGCAGCCGCGAAAACUCCGUCCUAUAUUCAACCUGUUCGGGCUUGCUCGGACUAUGGGCAUAAACGCGCAUGUAAUAAGCGGAUCGGACCCGGGGGCGGUACCCGGCGACUCCACCAAAACUCCCUCGUUGGGGGCAAAUGGGGUCGAAACAGGAUCGACGAACGUCUAAAGAUGUAAGCUUUGUCUCGGUGAGCUACCACCGUCAUCGGUGCAAAUUGUACAGUUGCCAACGACAACCGUGCUCCGGUCGCUCUGGCUGCGUAAGCAGUUCGAGAGAUCGAAACUUAAGUCCUUGCGCUUAGCCGCGUAAGGCGGGGCCCGCAGGAGCCUGGCAACAGAAUCCUGCACC
rnacentral:tmRNA from 1 species